rnacentral:rRNA from 1 species
CAGCCGUAAACUAUGCUCGCUAGGUGUCAGGCAUGGCGCGACCGUGUCUGGUGCCGCAGGGAAGCCGUGAAGCGAGCCACCUGGGAAGUACGGCCGCAAGGCUGAGACUUAAAGGAAUUGGCGGGGGAGCACAACAACGGGUGGAGCCUGCGGUUUAAUUGGACUCAACGCCGGAAAUCUCACCGGAUAAGACAGCAGAAUGAUUGCCGGGCUGAAGACUCUGCAUGACUAGCUGAGAGGUGGUGCAUGGCGUAGACGUCU